UACAGAGGGGGCGAGCGUUAUUCGGAAUUAUUGGGCGUAAAGGGCGCGUAGGCGGCUUUGCAAGUGACGGGUGAAAUCCCUCGGCUUAACCGAGGAACUGCCUGUCAGACUGUAAGGCUUGAGACCGGGAGAGGUGAGUGGAAUUCCCAGUGUAGCGGUGAAAUGCGUAGAUAUUGGGAGGAACACCAGUGGCGAAAGCGGCUUCCUGGUCCAGCACCGACGUUCAGGCACGAAAGCGUGGGGAGCAAACAGG
rnacentral:rRNA from 1 species